CAGAACGAACGCUGGUGGCGUGUCUUAUACAUGCAAGUCGAGCGAGGCAGCAAUGCCGAGCGGCGAACGGGUGAGUAACGCGUAAGCAAUCUGCCCCAUAUCAGGAAAUACCCGUGCCAACGCGCGGUUAAUGUCCAGGAGAGUGGCCCUCUGCAUGGAGGGUUGACUAGAGAUUUAUCGGUAUGGGAUGAGCUUGCGUCCGAUUAGCUAGUUGGCGGGGCAACGGCCCACCAAGGCGACGAUCGGUAGCCGGCCUGAGAGGGUGAUCGGCCACAUUGGGACUGAGAUACGGCCCAGACUCCUACGGGAGGCAGCAGUAGGGAAUAUUGCACAAUGGGGGAAACCCUGAUGCAGCAACGCCGCGUGUGGGGAAGAAGCAUUUCGGUGUGUAAACCACUGUCAUGAGGGAAUAAGGCCCGCCUUCCGGGCGGACCUUGAAUGUACCUUGAGAGGAAGCACCGGCAAACUUCGUGCCAGCAGCCGC
rnacentral:rRNA from 1 species